AGAGUUUGAUCCUGGCUCAGAUUGAACGCUGGCGGCAGGCCUAACACAUGCAAGUCGAGCGGAAACGACACUAACAAUCCUUCGGGUGCGUUAAUGGGCGUCGAGCGGCGGACGGGUGAGUAAUGCCUGGGAAUAUGCCUUGAUGUGGGGGAUAACCAUUGGAAACGAUGGCUAAUACCGCAUAAUGCCUACGGGCCAAAGAGGGGGACCUUCGGGCCUCUCGCGUCAAGAUAUGCCUAGGUGGGAUUAGCUAGUUGGUGAGGUAAUGGCUCACCAAGGCGACGAUCCCUAGCUGGUCUGAGAGGAUGAUCAGCCACACUGGAACUGAGACACGGUCCAGACUCCUACGGGAGGCAGCAGUGGGGAAUAUUGCACAAUGGGCGAAAGCCUGAUGCAGCCAUGCCGCGUGUAUGAAGAAGGCCUUCGGGUUGUAAAGUACUUUCAGUUGUGAGGAAGGGGGUAGUGUUAAUAGCGCUAUCUCUUGACGUUAGCAACAGAAGAAGCACCGGCUAACUCCGUGCCAGCAGCCGCGGUAAUACGGAGGGUGCGAGCGUUAAUCGGAAUUACUGGGCGUAAAGCGCAUGCAGGCGGUUCAUUAAGUCAGAUGUGAAAGCCCGGGGCUCUUCCUCGGAACUACAUUUGUAACUGUGAACUAGAGUACUGUAGAGGGGUGUAGAAUUUCAGGUGUAGCGGUGAAAAUGCGUAUAGAUCUGAAGGAAUACCAGUGUCGAUGGUGGGUCCUCUGGAUAGAUAUUGACACUUAUAUGCUAAAUCGUGUGGAGCUAACUGGAUUAUAUAUCCUGGUGUUCACGUCCGUAAACGAUGUCUCCUUGGAGGUGGGGUCCUUGAUCCUUGAUUUUCGUAU
rnacentral:rRNA from 1 species